GAUGAACGCUGGCGGCGUGCCUAAUACAUGCAAGUCGAGCGAACAGACUAGGAGCUUGCUCCUCUGACGUUAGCUGCGUACGGGUGAGUAACACGUGGAUAACCUACCUAUAAGACUUGGAUAACUUCGUGUAACCGGAGCUAAUUCCGGAUUAUAUAUUUAACCGCAUGGUUCAAUAGUUAAAGACGGUUUUGCUGUCACUUAUAGAUGGAUCCUCGCCGCAUUAGCUAGUUGGUAAGGUAACGGCUUACCAAGGCAACGAUGCGUAGCCGACCUGAGAGGGUGAUCGGCCACACUGGAACAGAGACACGGUACAGACAACUACGGGAGGAAGAAGAAGGGAAUAUUCGGCAAUGGGCGAAAGAGUGACGGAACAACGCAGCGUGAGUGAAGAAGGUAUACGGAUCGUAAAACUCUGUUAUUAGGGAAGAAAAAAUGUGUAAGUAACUAUGCAAGUAUUGACGGUAACUAAUCAGAAAGACACGGCUAACUACGUG
rnacentral:rRNA from 1 species